UGGUGGAGUGAUUUGUCUGCUUAAUUGCGAUAACGAACGAGACCUUAACCUGCUAAAUAGCCAGGCUAGCUUUGGCUGGUCGCCGGCUUCUUAGAGGGACUGUCGGCGUCUAGCCGACGGAAGUUUGAGGCAAUAACA
rnacentral:rRNA from 1 species